UACGUAGGGUGCAAGCGUUAAUCGGAAUUACUGGGCGUAAAGCGUGCGCAGGCGGUUUUGUAAGACGUGUGUGAAAUCCCCGGGCUUAACCUGGGAACUGCAUUUGUGACUGCAUAGCUAGAGUACGGUAGAGGGGGAUGGAAUUCCGCGUGUAGCAGUGAAAUGCGUAGAUAUGCGGAGGAACACCGAUGGCGAAGGCAAUCCCCUGGACCUGUACUGACGCUCAUGCACGAAAGCGUGGGGAGCAAACAGG
rnacentral:rRNA from 1 species